UAAGUAGUAGCUUAAGAACUUAAAGCAUUGGACUGUUAAUCCAAAGAUGUAGAUUCUACUUACUUAG
rnacentral:tRNA from 1 species